UUUGUCCUACGGGGCGCAGCAGUGGGGGAUAUUGCACAAUGGGGGGAACCCUGAUGCAGCGACGCCGCGUGGGCGAUGGAGUAUUUCGGUAUGUAAAGCUCUAUCAGCAGGGAAGAAAGAAAUGACGGUACCUGACUAAGAAGCCCCGGCUAACUACGUGCCAGCAGCCGCGGUAAUACGUAGGGGGCAAGCGUUAUCCGGAUUUACUGGGUGUAAAGGGAGCGUAGACGGCAAUGCAAGUCUGGAGUGAAAGGCGGGGGCCCAACCCCCGGACUGCUCUGGAAACUGUAUAGCUGGAGUGCAGG
rnacentral:rRNA from 1 species